AUGUUAGCAAGAGGGGUAGUAGCUAUAAGAUAUGAAGUAGCACCAGUAGACUCUAGAUUAAGCUGUGAAGGAUCAAGAGGAAAAAAUAAGUGGAACUACCAUAAUGUUCAACAACACCUUUAUAGAUUCCACUUGAGCGAGGACUCAAGCUUCACUUGCUUUCAUAUCGGCCUUGAUCUUUUCCUUCAACUUCUCCCGACCCUCUCCAGCUUCUUUUUCUACGACUUCAUUCUGACUCAUUGA